AUAUUUUUUUCGGCCUUUUAGCUAAGAUCAAGUGUAAUAUCUGUUCUUAUCAGUUUAAUAUCCUGGUACGUGGGCAAUCAACCCACAUGUUAUUAAAUUAAUUUUUUUCUUGGGGGAGGUCCCACCAACACUAGCUUGCUAUUGGGGACUUCAAGCAUCGCCCAUGCGUUGCACUACUGCACGGGCCUCGUGCAUCUCGC
rnacentral:snRNA from 1 species